UACGGGGGGGGCAAGCGUUAUUCGGAAUUACUGGGCGUAAAGGGCGCGUAGGCGGUCCGUUAAGUGAGAAGUGAAAGCCCACGGCUCAACCGUGGAGGUGCUUCUCAUACUGGCGAACUAGAGUAUGGGAGAGGAAAGUGGAAUAUCCGGUGUAGCGGUGAAAUGCGUAGAGAUCGGAUGGAACACCAGUGGCGAAGGCGACUUUCUGGACCAUAACUGACGCUGAGGCGCGAAAGCGUGGGGAGCAAACAGG
rnacentral:rRNA from 1 species